rnacentral:lncRNA from 1 species
AAGGACUUAAUAGUAUAGUUGGGGAGAUAAACAAAAAAGGUUUCGAAAUACAACAGAAAAAACCUAGGGAAACAAAAACGGCCGAAUUAGAUGGAAACCUAGUAAAUGCUACUAAAUUAAAUUGUAUCGAAAAUUGUGGUACCGAAUCAUGUCACGAUAAAAAGGAACAAGUCGAACUAAAUCACGUCGAACUAGAUCAUGUCGAACUAGAUCAUGUCGAACUAGAUCAUGCCGAAUUAGACCAUGUCGAACUAGAUCAUGCCGAACUAAAUCACGUCGAACUAGAUCAUGUCGAACUAGAUCAUGCCGAAUUAGACCAUGUCGAACUAGAUCAUGCCGAAUUAGACCAUGUCGAACUAGACCGUGUCGAACUAGACCGUGUCGAACUAGACCGUGUCGAACUAGACCGUGUCGAUACUGAUAUUGCCGAAUCACUAAAGCCCAGCUCAAAAGAAAAAACAGUCGCGACUAAUACAGUAAACAUAAAAAAUAUAAAUGACAGUAAUACACCUGAGCACAAUGAAAACAAUAUUAUUUGCGAGCAAGAAAAAUCUAUAACAGACUCCAAACUUUUUAAUACAACAACACAUGAAAAUUCCAAACUUUGUAAUACAACUGGCAAAAUUAUUGAAAAUGACAAAAAUAUAACAUCUGAUAUAAAUGUCAAAACGGAUAAUAAAUUUAAUAUUGAUGGGAACUUAUUAUGUGUUGAUGAAAGUGAAGAUAAAUUAAAAAAAGAAAAAACUGAAGUGAUUAGUUAUAACGUAAGUUCUGAAAACCCUAGCAAAAUGGAAAUUUUAAAAAAAAACAUUAUAAAAAUAGAAUCAACAGACAAAGUUUUUAUCGGUAAGCAUAAUAAGUUUACUAAUGAUGGCAUUACUAAGGAUAACAGUAGAAAAGGUAACGCAAUAAGCAUACUAAGCCAACAAAAAAAGCCACAGAUAACUGGUAAAAAUAUCCCAUAUACAAAUAAUAUGUACAUUAAUAGUAAUCGUAAUAAUAAAAACAAUGUGAGUAGUACUGUAUCGAAUAUGUAUAAAAAGAAUGAUAAAAUUAUAGAGUUAAGCAAGAAUGAUAAAAAUACUAAUAUAAAUAUUUAUAAGCGCAUGUACCAG